GUCGUAACAAGGUAGCCGUAGGGGAACCUGCGGCUGGAUCACCUCCUUAAUCGACGACUCAGCUGCACCAUAAGCACCCACACGAAUUGCUUGAUUCAUUGAAGAAGACGAUUAGAAGCAGCGCCCGAGUUCGGGUCUGUAGCUCAGUUGGUUAGAGCGCACCCCUGAUAAGGGUGAGGUCGGCAGUUCGAAUCUGCCCAGACCCACCAGUUUACUGGUGAGAUAGCUGGUCAGAGUAGACGCCUCCACGGUAUGUAGAAAUACGGGGCCAUAGCUCAGCUGGGAGAGCGCCUGCCUUGCACGCAGGAGGUCAGCGGUUCGAUCCCGCUUGGCUCCACCACUUACUGCUUCUGUUUGAAAGCUUAGAAAUGAGCAUUCCAUUGAUCCUGAUGAUCAGUGCCUGAAUGUUGAUUUCUAGUCUUUGAUUAGAUCGUUCUUUAAAAAUUUGGGUAUGUGAUAGAAAGAAAUAGACCGGGCACCUCUUUCACUGGUGUGUGUCCGGGCUAAGGUAAAGUUUGUGAAAUGCAAACUUUCGGCGAAUGUCGUCUUCACAGUAUAGCCAGAUUGCUUGGGGUUAUAUGGUCAAGUGAAGAAGCGCAUACGGUGGAUGCCUUGGC
rnacentral:misc_RNA from 1 species